rnacentral:rRNA from 1 species
AACGAACGCUGGCGGCAUGCCUAACACAUGCAAGUCGAACGAGACCUUCGGGUCUAGUGGCUGACGGGUUCGUAACGCGUGGGAUAAUGCCCUUAGGUUCGGAAUAACUCUCCGAAAGAGGUGCGAAUAACGGAUAAUGUCUUCGGACCAAAGCUUUAUCGCCUUUGGAUGGGCCCGCGUUGGAUUAGCUAGGUGGUUGGGUAAAAGCCUACCAAGGUGACGAUUCAUAGAUGGUCUGAGAGGAUGAUCAGCCACACAGGGACUGAGACACGGCCCAGACUCCGACGGGAGGCAGCAGUGGGGAAUAUUGGACCAUGGGCGAUAGCCUGAUCCAGCAAUGCCGCGUGAGUGAUGAAGGCCUUAGGGUUGUAAAGCUCUUUUACCCGGGAUGAUAAUGACAGUACCGGGAGAAGAAGCUCCGGCUAACUCCGUG